rnacentral:rRNA from 1 species
GAUCAUGGCUCAGGAUGAACGCUAGCUACAGGCUUAACACAUGCAAGUCGAGGGGAAACGACAUCGAAAGCUUGCUUUUGAUGGGCGUCGACCGGCGCACGGGUGAGUAACGCGUAUCCAACCUGCCCACCACUUGGGGAUAACCUUGCGAAAGUAAGACUAAUACCCAAUGACGUCUCUAGAAGACAUCUGAAAGAGAUUUAAAGAUUUAUCGGUGAUGGAUGGGGAUGCGUCUGAUUAGCUUGUUGGCGGGGUAACGGCCCACCAAGGCGACGAUCAGUAGGGGUUCUGAGAGGAAGGUCCCCCACAUUGGAACUGAGACACGGUCCAAACUCCUACGGGAGGCAGCAGUGAGGAAUAUUGGUCAAUGGACGGGAGUCUGAACCAGCCAAGUAGCGUGCAGGACGACGGCCCUAUGGGUUGUAAACUGCUUUUAUAAGGGAAUAAAGUGGGUCUCGUGAGACUUUUGCAUGUACCUUAUGAAUAAGGACCGGCUAAUUCCGUG